AAGUUCGCUUGACUUGAACGAGUACGCAGAGGCGAACAACAUUGUCAUGCUCUACCCGCAGGCCGCGGGUGACGACAGAGUGGGCAUCGGCUGCUGGAAUUGGGGCGAUGGGCACGUUGACCCUCAGUUCGACACCCAAAGGUCAC
rnacentral:sRNA from 1 species